GGAGAUUGUCUUUUCUAUUUUUUGUUUGUCCACAUCCAGCAUUUUCACAGCCCAAGUGUAUCGUCCAGGAACUGUUUCAUCCCUCGUCCACUCGCAUUUCGUCACCCCGCUCGCCUUUUUCCUCCAGGCGGCGGCGAUUCUUGUGACCGAAGAUGGAGAGGCAUUCUUGUUUGAUUCUUUGCUCCGCGCGGUGUUUGUGUGUACUGUCAUCCAUCUAGGGUUUGCCCAAACGAGAGUUCUCUGAGUACAAAUGCGAGGGGGAUUUUCAAGAUGGUAGUUGUGGGUGGGGAGGGGGUAGAUUUCGUGUCUAGAUGUUCAGGUAGAUGGUAGGAUUCCAUUCCUUUUUUCAGAAAUAAGUUGAUUUUGAUCUAGUGUUUUUCUGUCCAAAUCAAACAGAGAUUCAUGGGGUUGGUAAUUUUGGGUUGCUUGGUUCGGCAGUGCAGCAGUGGGUUUCUUUUUCAGUGGGUUUCUUUUUGUCAGUUACUUUGUAUGUCUGAAUAUCAAUUACUAGUUACUAGUUUGGAUAGUUUCGUCAGUGUUAGCAUCUGUUUCAGACUAAAUUUCAUUUUUGCUAGCUAUGUCAGUCAGUGUAACUGCUUAUCUGCUACAUACGUCAGUGUCAAUGGCUAUAUGUGAUAUCUUUUUUUUUCAAUGCUAUCUAUGUGUGUGUGAACAAUGUAGUUUCUGGAUGCUUUUUAUGGCUAAAUGAUACGUACUAAAUAUGUUGUCGCCUGAACUAUCUAUGUUGCCAUAUGCAAAGUAUGACUACAAAAUGCUACACUGUGUAGUUACUAGUUUGUAUGUAUGAUAUUCCAGUUACUAGUUAUAUAACAUUUUUUUUUCAAGCACGCAAGUGUUUUAUGCUCUGAUUUGUUCUGCUAAAAAAGCAUGGGUUGUUUGAUGUAGUUCUUGUAAGGUUGUAUAAGGAUGUUAGCAUUUCCCAACAUGAGUGGGACAUUUUUCUAUGUCUUAUUCUUGGCAAAGUUCUAUUAGGAUCCCACCUUAUAUAUUCUUGGCAUCUAGGUUUUGUUGUUUUGAGGUAGGAAACAUCAAGAACUCGAGAUUUGGAGCGGAACAAGAUAGUUGUGUGCAGAUUUUUUUCUGUGUGCUAGUUGUAGGAAUAUCUACUGUAAUUCUUUUAGAUCAAACGGAGACCAGAUGAAAUGUUUUUAGUGUUUUGUGCAGAAUGUCUGAACCAUUUUUAUGUUUUUGUUCUAGAAGCAGGUGUAUUUCUAGGUUUCUUUAGGGUUCUAGGGUUUCUUUUUUUGCGUUUUGGCAGUGAGCACUGAGCAGGUUCCAGUACCUUUUUUUAUUGCGAGCCCGAUGAAUUACCUUUUUUCAGUACAUUUGGUCCCUAAUACCUCGGAUCAGUGGGAAUGCUCUCUGUUUUUUCGAGUUGUUUCCUCAGUAGAUUUAUCCCCCUUUUCAAAUAGGGGCUCCAUCUUUCGUUUACAAGUGAAUUUUUAGGUACAGGCAACAUUACCUUCAUGUAUACUAACAUUCUUAUUCUAGACAUUUGUUUUAGAUAACAGAUUGUAGCAAAACUAAUCUGGGUUUUUUUAGAUAAUUUUUAGGGGAAAUAUCUCUGGGUUUAGUAGUUGUUUGUUUUUUAGAGUCCAGUACAAUUUUCUACUAGAAUGGGAAAUGGUACAAAACUGAUGCUCCUGUGCAGUUGUAUUCUGCAUGCCUGGUGCUUUUUGCUCAUCCAAAUGGGGACCCAACAGGCUUAUGUCCUUUCUAAAUAUGUCCUAUGUAGUGUUUAUUAUUUACAUGUAUUUUUUUUUGUAACAAAAACAAAGUUUUUAUUGUAGUCUGUGUGGCAGCAAUCAUCUUAAUAACUUCAGUGAAAAGCACUAGUUUCUAGAUAGAUGCAUAGCGAGGGGUGAUAUCAUUUUGUAACAGAAACUAAGUUUUCUGGGAUGAUCUGAAUUAUAUACAUUUUGUUAUUCCUCUGCUGCAGUAUAUUGUGUUUAUAUGCAUCUGGAUAAUAUAUAUUCUUUUAUAUAUAUCUGAAGUAUAUACUUUUUAGAUACUAGCACACAUGCCCGUGCGUUGCAACGGGAGGAUAAAAUUACAUGCCUCUAGCUUAAUAUAAGAAUUGAUCAAGACCCCACAUGUCCGUAUUCACUAGUUCAACAUGGCACCCUUUAAUUGGAGCCAAACCAAUAUAUUCUUCUUUAUUGGUACGUGCCCAUAAUUUGUUUCAAUUAUAAUUAACCGGUAUAUUCUCUUUUAUUGAUGACCGGAAGCUACCACUGUCAAAUAUUUGUGGUGUCCCUUAAUCUAAACAAGCUGACUUAGUUUGAUGUGCCGCAGGCCCAAUAUGAGAGUGAUCGAACUCACGGCCUCAAAGACCCGACCACAUGUUACUAGCCACUCAAACAAAUGCGUUCUGCUAUCCAAUGGUUAGCGUUAUAUUAAAGAAUCUAAUGCAACAUCAGAUUCGGAACUUUUUUUUGAACUUUUUUCACAAACAUUUCUUAAAAGCAUGAACGUUUUAUAAAAACAUGAUUUUUUUAAGUUGUGAACAAU
rnacentral:lncRNA from 1 species